AGCUCAGUGAUUUCAGUCCAAUACUUUUGUCAUAUACGCUAUUCUGAAUAUGUUGUAAAAUAAACUUAUGAGAGCU
rfam:Triticum aestivum genome assembly, contig: Triticum_aestivum_CS42_TGACv1_scaffold_289336_4AL